AGAAAAAAAACGGUUUUAUAUUUUAUAAAAUAAUUAUUUCGAUUUACCGUGACGUUUACGAUGCGUUAAUGGGUACGAUCGGAAUUCGAACACUGUUCUUCACUAAUUCACCGAUAUGGAGUAUGGAGAUAUCGUUGAUAUACGUAUAGUAUGCUGCAGAGAUCAGCCGCUCGACGACAGUCGUAUAUACAGAUAACAACACGAUAUGAUGAUGAUGAUGAUGACGAUGAUGCUGCGGUUCGUACGUAUAAAUAUAGGUACGGUUUAUUUUUAUUUCAAACACACAUUAUAAUAAACCGGGCUAAUUACGAAACUCACUGUAUAUUAUCACUGCGGG